UGGCAGACGUGGACGUAAGAUACUCUCGAGGAGCGAGAAAGAAAGAGGCUGCGAGAUAUCUUUGCAGAACCAUCUGACGAAGAGUCUUUUAAGGGGUUCACGGAGAGAAUGGAGGAAGAGCUGGUUAGCUCGGAAGAGGAUGAGAUGGAUUGGACUCGGCUUUGACCUUCCGUCGUCUUCUUGACGGACGCCAUCUGCUACUCUGGAUUUACGGACUGAAAACUGACUACGGGCUCGCUUUCUCCUAUUGAACUUGGAAAACUGCAAACGUCUGAUUCUGCCUCUCGACCUACGGAACGAACUGGGACUACGCUACUGCUUCAAUCCUUGGCUGCUGAGUUUGUAUUGGAAAUUUGCCUUGCUGUGUGAAGGAGUGACUCCUAGUUACUCAAAACAUAGUGCUGGCAGCAGAGAGGCAUCUGCUGCCAAUUAGUUGCAUUCUUUUGAACUCUUUGUUUCCCAGCUUCUGUUUGUUUAUCCCCAGGCUGAAGCAAGCUGUUUUGAUUUUACCCGGAUUAAACUCCGGUUUAAUCCGGUUUAUCUUUUGAACGUUUUUCUUGCCCCUUUUUGUUUUUAAAGGCUAAAGUUGCCUUGCCCUUGUCUUUUACGGGCAUUUUGAGUUCUGUAAAUCCAAUAAACUCUGUUAUCUUUGA